GGUGAAGCAGCUUCUUGUAUCUCUGUUUCUGUUGAACUUGGGUCUGCCUCUUCCAUUUUUUGAAGUAACACAUUUCUUCAUUGUUCUUAAACCGAGCAUGGAAGGCACCUUCUGCAUUUUCUUCUUCUUCAUCUAGAAAUUUCUUUUUUUCAUGGGCUUCUAGAGAACCUAUCAGCUCCGCAUAGGAAUGUGCCAGGAGAUCCCAAGCCUGUUUUGCAGUUGUUGCAUAAAUGAUUUUGUCAAAGAUGGUGUCAGUUAUGGCAUAUUGAGUUAUUUGAAGUACAGCUGUAUCCUAGAUAAUCAAAAUUAUAUAGAAUCAUACAAAAAACUACUAAGUGAUUAG